UACGUAGGGGGCAAGCGUUGUCCGGAUUCAUUGGGCGUAAAGAGCGUGUAGGCGGCCAGGUAGGUCGGUUGUGAAAACUGGAGGCUCAACCUUCAGACGUCGACCGAAACCAUCUGGCUAGAGUCCGGGAGAGGAGAGUGGAAUUCCUGGUGUAGCGGUGAAAUGCGCAGAUAUCAGGAGGAACACCGGUGGCGAAGGCGGAUCUCUGGGCCGUAACUGACGCUGAGGAGCGAAAGCAUGGGGAGCGAACAGG
rnacentral:rRNA from 1 species